AUUGAACGCUGGCGGCAGGCCUAACACAUGCAAGUCGAGCGGAGCGGCGAACGGGUGAGUAAUGCCUAGGAAUCUGCAUGGGAGUGGGGGAAAACGUAGGGAAACGGGCGCUAAUACAGCCUAAGAUCAGAUGAGCAUAGGUCGGAUUAGCUAGUUGGUGGGGUAAAGGACUACCAAGGCGCCGAGGCGUAACUGGUCUGAGAGGAUGAUCAGUCACACUGGAACUGAGACACGUUCCAGACUCCUACGGGAUGCAGCAGUGGGGAAUAUUGGACAAUGGGCGAAAGUCUGCACCAGCCAUGCCGCGUGGGUGAAGAAGGUCUUCGGAUUGUAAAGCACUUUAAGUUGGGAGGCGUUACCAACAGAAUAAGCACCGGCUAACUUCGUGCCAGCAGCCGCGGUAAUUC
rnacentral:rRNA from 1 species